AAUUAAAUUUUUUAUCUAUUUUUACUGUUAAAAACUGGUGUAGCUGACAGAAUAAGCAGACACUUACACGUGAUGUAUCACAUAUACUUCAUGCUGACAUGCAAAGACCAAUUUUUAACAGUAGAAAUGGACAGAAUUUUUAAUA
rfam:Gossypium arboreum cultivar AKA8401 contig_1516_7, whole genome shotgun sequence.